AACCCAGCACAGGGAGGUCGCGGCACAGUUGUGACGUGGUAUAGUUGGAUCAAGUAUAAUGAUAUCUGACAGUGAUUAAAAUCACUAUCAAAAAUAAACGCUUCGAUGCAAAUCUUUAGAUAGUGCUUAAUUUAAAAAAAAUUGGUGUUUUAUUCCAAAAGCUACUUGAUCUGCUGGUUCCUUAUUAAUAUCUCGAUAAAGAUAAAGUAUGUCAAAUGAAAAAGGGUUUAUUAAAAAAUAUUAUUUCUCAUAAAAAAAUUGUGUGGAUCCAUAAACUUUUCAAUAAGUUAUAGCAUUAUAAAGUUAAAUAUUAUAUAAAUAAUAAAAUCGAGAAUUUUCACACGAAAAUAGUAUUCGGUAGCCGUUUUCACCAUGAAGACAAGUCCAGAGGUCAAAUUUUUUUUUUCAAAUUAAAGUACAUUACAUUAGCUUUAAUUUAAGAUAUAUAUAAAAGUGUCAGACCUUCCGGAACAUUUUCAAAAGUUAAGUUGAAAAAGUUCUACUUUCUAUAUGCAUUUUUUAUAUUUGAAGCCCCCCCAUAUAUAGGGAAAUAGUCUGAUUUAAAAAAAAAGUAUAUCCAAUGAAAGAUGUAUAUAAAUACUACUUCUCAUGAAAAAAUUGUAUUGAUCCAUACAUUUUUUAAAAAGUUAUAGCACUUUAAAGUAAAAAAUGUAAAUUAUAAAAUCGAAAAUUUUCACACAAAAAUAGCAUUCGGUAGCCGUUUUCACCAUGAAGACAAGUCCAGAGGUCAAAUUUUUUUUUUUCAAAUUAAAGUACAUUACAUUAGCUUUAAUUUAAGAUAUAUAUAAAAGUGUCAGACCUUCCGGAACAUUUUCAAAAGUUAAGUUGAAAAAGUUAAUUUUUUGUGAAAAAGUUGUCAUUUUAAAUCCCCCCCUGUGGGCAGAUAAAAGGUCAAAUUUACAAAAAAAAUAUAUCAAAUGAUAGGUAAAGACAUCAAGCAUCUAUAUAAAAAAAAAUUAUAUUGAUAUGUUCAUUUUUGAAAAAGUUACGGCAGUUUUUAGUAAAAAAAAUUGAAAAAAUUUCGAAAAUUAGCGAUUUUUAAAUUUGUAAUUUUUUUGGAGGUUUCCCCCAUUUACGGGGAACGAGGGAAAUUUUUUCAAUUUUGAAGGGUAAUGUCUUCGACUAGAUACGAUUUGUGAUCUUUUGACGUAUCGUUGAAAGAAAUCCGUUCGGUGAGAGCUGAGAAAAAGUGGUAACAGACACAAAAAAAAAAAAAAACAAA